UACGAAGGGGGCUAGCGUUGCUCGGAAUCACUGGGCGUAAAGGGCGCGUAGGCGGCUUUUUAAGUCGGGGGUGAAGGCCUGUGGCUCAACCACAGAAUUGCCUUCGAUACUGGAAAGCUUGAGUUCGGUAGAGGUUGGUGGAACUGCGAGUGUAGAGGUGAAAUUCGUAGAUAUUCGCAAGAUCACCGGUGGCGAAGGCGGCCAACUGGACCGACACUGACGCUGAGGCGCGAAAGCGUGGGGAGCAAACAGG
rnacentral:rRNA from 1 species